rnacentral:ncRNA from 1 species
CAGAUAAAAUAUAAACCAGAAACGAAAGUAAUCUUAAUAUAUCUGAAUACAUGAAAGCUAAGACCCAAACUGGGAUUAGAUACCCCACUAUGCUUAGCCAUAAACAUAAAAAUUUAUGUAACAAGAAUUUUCACCUGAGAACUACUAGCAAUAGCUUAAAACUCAAAGGACUUGGCGGUGCUCCACCUAGAGGACCUGUUCUAUAAUCAAUGAACUCUGAUACACCUCAACACUUCUUGAUGAUACAGCCUGUAUAUUGCCAUCUUCAGCAAACCCAAUCAUGGAAGCAGAGUAAUCAUAAGUAUGCUACAUAAAAACGUUAGGUCAAGGUGUAGCCAAUGAAGUGGAAAGAAAUGGGCCACAUUUCCCUACUAAAGAAUAACAAAUGCAUCUAAGGAGGAUUUAGCAGUAAAUCAAGAAUGGGGAGCUUGAUUGAACUAGGCCAUGAAGCACGUAUAUACCUUCCGUCACCCUCCUCAAGCAUCCAAAAAAUUUUAAACCCCAAAAUUAAUACAUAUAAGAGGAAAUAAGUUGUAACAAGGUAAGCAUACUGGAAAGUGUGCUUGGAAACAAAGUGUA